GAAUCUUGAUCAGAUUUAGCCACUGAGGAUACAUAUACAUGUCUACAAUUGAAAUCAUUAAAAUCAUGUGAAAGCUCCAAAUAAUGAAGAUUCGGGGCAAAAAUUUCAAAGGACUAUCAUUUUCACUUCCAUCAUCUUUCAUCCAGUUACCUUCCAAUUUCAGGGCACUAACGACAAACAUCACUAACCUGAGUGAACAAAGUUCCGAAUGUUAACUCGGUUGCAUGACGUAGCUUUUGAAGGCUACUGCAGUGAAGCUCAAACUUAUCAAAUUUGGAAGCAGUGGAAUGAGACAAUACGUAGUCAACAAAUGAUCGGAAUCCUUUGGUUCUUUCCCAAUAGCGUUUAGGAG